CAGCAGCCGCGGGAAUACGAAGGGGGCUAGCGUUGUUCGGAAUCACUGGGCGUAAAGGGUGCGUAGGCGGGUCUUUAAGUCAGGGGUGAAAUCCUGGAGCUCAACUCCAGAACUGCCUUUGAUACUGAAGAUCUUGAGUUCGGGAGAGGUGAGUGGAACUGCGAGUGUAGAGGUGAAAUUCGUAGAUAUUCGCAAGAACACCAGUGGCGAAGGCGGCUCACUGGCCCGAUACUGACGCUGAGGCACGAAAGCGUGGGGAGCAAACAGGAUUAGAUACCCGUGUAGUCCCUGUCUCUUAUAC
rnacentral:rRNA from 1 species